AUGGAGCUGGUUCCUUCUGCUCGUCAGCUAAACGAGCCCCUGUGCGUGCAGGGGUGCGGUGGUGGGAGGCUUGGGGCAAAAUCCCCUCUGCUCCUGGGCAGCAGCUCCCCGGGGCGGUGGCGAAUUGCCCCCAGGGACAGCGAGUGUCCAGCAGGAAGGGCAGGACGGAGACCAAAGCCCUGCCUGCACAUCGGCACCCAAACCCCAAAAAAGCGACCAGGUGCCCUCCAGCUGGCCUCCAGCACUGCUGGGAAGCGUUACGGGAGCCCACGGGGCUGGGGCCGGGGCAGGACAGCCCCGUGGUUUUACCUCCUGCUCCCUUCCUCUCCCCAACCCUUUCCACACGAUGGUUUCCUGACUUCUCUGUGGCUGCCUCACACCAUCCUGCUGCUUCAGACCCCCAAGACCCCCUCCUGCACCACGGGAGCGAGCGGGGACACAGCUCCCACCAGGGGACCCCAUCCCAGGGCUGCGUCCCCGGGGUCCCCGUCCCUUCCCCACCCCAACACUGAGGUCACGGCGCUGGGGAGCAGCUGCCCAGGCCCUCCCUGGUGCCACAGGAGGGUGGGGGGCUCCACGCUGGAGCUUUGGGGGGGUUUGGAAAUGGCUUGGUGCUGCCUGGGCUGGCCCCAACCCCAUUUGGGGGAUCCCUUGCGCCCCAGUGGGGUUUUCUCCUGCAGGAAGAGCCGCAGCACCCAGCACCCCUCCUGCCCCCCGGAGCUGGGGGUCGCUGCGGGUGCAGGGACCUGGGGAGGAGCUGGGGGCUGCAGCAUCCCGGUGAGCCCCCUCCUGGAGCCACAGCUCUGCCAGGAGCUGGUUGCCUACACCCUGGAGCUGCCGCUGUGGAGGGGAGAUGUCACCCGGGUCCCCUGCAAGGUGAGGCGAUGCCACCCCAGCACACGGCAUCCCGUGAGCCUGGCCACGGUGGAUUUGGGGCCCUGGGCAUCUCCGCAUUGCCAGGGGGGUGGCAGCUGUGGGGCCGGUGGCAAGAAGCGGGGCAGGAGGAGCCCCCCACAGGGUGCCAGGGAUGCGGCGUGGCCCAGCACCGCGGUGCUCAGCGCUUUGACUUCCUUCCCCGCGCGGAGCCGAUUUCCUCCAGCGUCACGUGCGCGGCGCGGGGCCAGGGUGGCCGGGGGGAGCCUGGCACGGCGCCGAGCGGCACGGCCUGGGGGGCAGCCCCGUGCCAGCAGCCUGAGCCAGCGAGGGACCGGCCUGGCCACCAGCAGCAGCACAGGGCGAGGAUGGAGCCGCCCAAGCCGCCCCCGAGCAAGAGGAUGGCUCCUGCGCCCCCCGUCCCGGCCAAAACCAAACCAGCGCUGGGGCUGCCGAGCAAGCCCAGCAGCCCCCAGCCCGGCGCCUCGGCUGAACUGGAGCGGGGCAGAGCCGCAGACCCAGACGCCGACGGCUUCAGCGCCCUGCAGGUGACCACGGCCAAGCUGAGCCACCCCACGGCCACGCGCCCCCGGGUGCCGGGCCAGCGGCCGCCCAGCAUGGCCUGGGGGGGUUUGGGGCCGCCCUGCGCCAGGCUCUGCCCCCCUCUCCCCCCCGCAGCACAGAGCCCGGAGCAGCGGCUGGCCCUGGAGGACCUGAAGGCUGAGGUGCGGUCCCUGCACAUCCUCGUGGACCUGAUGCGAGGCCAGCACCUGAGGGACCUGGAGGACGUGAGGCUGGAGCUGCAGCACGAGCGGGCCAGGCGCGAGGCGCUGCAGGCGGAGAUCGAGCGGGUGAGGAAGGCGCUGCCCUGCUAG
rnacentral:lncRNA from 1 species